UUUAUAGAAAAAGAUCCACCGUCAAAAGAUGGAAAUUAAAUGAAGUUGAACACUAUCAAUUGAAGGGCCAUAAAUAUGGGCUUCAAUCUUCAUCUUAUUUUUUAUUGCAUUUUUUAUAUUGUUAAGCUACGCUAAAUCUUGAUUUGAGUUUUAUGAUUCUUGAAAAAUGCAAUGGAUUGAGCUUGAGAAACAAUUGAAAAUGGAGAUCAAAUCAACAAACAAAGCCGAAAUGAUCCGGUAAAAGGCAUAAAGAUGGACGAAUGAAAAGCAAUUAUCUUUUGAUAAGACGUAAAGAUGGAACGAAGACAUAAAGAUGGUAAAGAUUAUAUUUAUAUAUAGAUAAUUGGGUUUUGAUGAGGCUAUUUGUGAUAAUUCCAAUCAGAAUGAGAUUCAGAAGGAUGAAGCUGAAGGUUUUUUUAAGGAAGAAGAUGACAGUGGCGAUCGUGAAUUGAAGACCAGCAGUGCAAGGAGUCGGUGAAAGGGAGUUCACGCUGCCUUCUGAUUUCGGAGAUCACUACUAAGAAAGUAAUUCCCACUAACAUUAUGUUUUGGUGGGAAUUUGUGUGGUUGUUGUAUAAUAGUGAACUGUGAAAACAGCUGACUAGUGUGACCCAAAAACUAAAGCAGAACGGAACCUCUGAUGGCGCCUAAGAUCGAGGAUCGUGUACAACUUUCCGUUUAUUACAUCCGUGACUAAGGGCUGGAAAGAUCAUAUCCAGCACCACUACAAACCUACUUUCGUAGGAAGAAGAAGAACCAGACGUGUGAUGCAGGUGCGCAACCAGUGCCAGUAAAAGAACCAAGUUCCUUGUCGCUUCAAUGUCCGAUUUAACUACAACAAAUUAUACAAUUUGGAGUAUACUAAAUGGAGGUAAUUCUCAGUAUUCAUGGAGUGUGGGAAGUAAUCGAACCAGGUUCAACUGACGCUAAGAUAUCCCGCUUUGUAGAUGAUUAUUGUGAAUUAAUUAAAUGGUAUCCUAGUUAUAAUCUGAUGUGAAUAGGUUAGACUGUCAAUGUGAAUAGCCCAAGGCAGGGGCGGACCCACCCCCAGCCCAAGGUGGGCGGGCGCACCUCAGGAAAAAAAAAAAUUAAUGCUAUUUUCCGUCUAAAAUCUCGUCCCACCUCUUGGAAUUUUUCGUCCGCACCCCUAGGAAUUUUUUGUAAGAUUGUAAAAGACUGAAUGAUCUUAUUGAAUGGUUGAGUUACAAUAUAUAGACACUGUAACAAAACCCUAACUAACCUAAUAUGCCCGUGGGCUCGUAACCCUAGUCUGAUAAUGUAAUCUAAUACUCCCCCGCAGUCGGAGCGGAAGGAAACCAGAAGCUCGGACUGGGAAAACAAAAACAUAAAAAUGAUAAAUGUGCUCUGACCGAUUCCAGAAUCCAAACUUUUGCCAACAAAAACGUAUUUUGCUUGAUUUUGCCAUCCAUAGUCUUCAAUGACAAAACCCCUAAUCCUACAAGUGGCGUUCAAUGCAGCGGCGCAGCGGCUGCGAAGUAGAAAUCUAACUUAACUAGCAACGCGGCAGCGGACCGUAGUCCUGCAGGCGGUGCUGCGAUGGACCGAAGUCCAAUGAGCGGCGGACCGAAGUCAGCGGCGAUAAGAAGGAACCGUGGUUCAAUGACCGAAGUCCAAUGAGCGGCGGACCGAAGUCAGCGGCGAUAAGAAGGAACCGUGGUUCAAUAAGCGGUAGACCGAAGUCGACUGCAAUGGUAGGGACCAUUGUCCAAUAAGCGGCGGACCGAAGUCGGCGACAAUAAAUAAAAACAAAAGAGAGCGGCAGCGGCGUGGCGGCAAUAAACUGCUUGAGGAGUAUGAUGGGUGAGUGUCAUGGCUGCUCAGAUGGUGCCGUAGCAUACCGGUCGACGACGACACUUUAAUCAAAGCAAAAUAUUAAUUAAUAUUCACCAAUAAUGGAUGAAUAUCCUCACUUCAAUCCACCAACAAUUGUUUAAUAUUAAUCACUACAAUUGAUAAGUAUCAAAUGAUUAAUAUCAAUUGAAGGCAGCAACGAUGAGCACAAAAUUUGAGGUCAUAAGUGGCAAAUGACGGGAAAAUAGGUUGCAAUCGAUUUCGAGGCUUUAUU
rnacentral:lncRNA from 1 species